UACGUAGGGUGCAAGCGUUAAUCGGAAUUACUGGGCGUAAAGCGUGCGCAGGCGGUCCGCUAAGACCGAUGUGAAAUCCCCGGGCUUAACCUGGGAACUGCAUUGGUGACUGGCGGGCUAGAGUGUGGCAGAGGGGGGUAGAAUUCCACGUGUAGCAGUGAAAUGCGUAGAGAUGUGGAGGAAUACCGAUGGCGAAGGCAGCCCCCUGGGCUAACACUGACGCUCAUGCACGAAAGCGUGGGGAGCAAACAGG
rnacentral:rRNA from 1 species